rnacentral:rRNA from 1 species
UAUUUAUUAGAUAACAAGCCAAUAUUCCUCUGGUCUAUUGUGGUGACUCAUAAUAACUGAUCGAAUCGCAAGGUCUUUGACCGCGAUAAGUCAUUCAAGUUUCUGCCCCAUCAGCUUUCGAUGGUAGUGUAUUGGACUACCAUGGCGUUUACGGGUAACGGAGGAUUAGGGUUCGAUUCCGGAGAGGGAGCCUGAGAAACGGCUACCACAUCUAAGGAAGGCAGCAGGCGCGUAAAUUACCCAAUCCCGACUCGGGGAGGUAGUGACAAGAAAUAACGGACCGAGGCCUUCGGGCUCUCGGGAUUGCAAUGAGCCGAAUUUACACCCCUUAGCGAGAACCGAUUGGAGGGCAAGUCUGGUGCCAGCAGCCGCGGUAAUUCCAGCUCCAAUAGCGUAUAUUAAAGUUGUUGCAGUUAAAAAGCUCGUAGUUGGAUUUCUUGGAGGGUGCCAAUGUCCGCUACGGCGUGCGCAGCGGCGCCCUUCCAUCCUUCUGUUAACGCCUCUUGGCAUUCGUUUGCUGGUGGCGGGCUCAGAUAUUUUACCUUGAGAAAAUUAGAGUGUUUCAGGCAGGCUAGG